rnacentral:sRNA from 1 species
ACGGAACCGACAGCAGAGCACCGGGCGC